rnacentral:antisense_RNA from 1 species
CUUCACCGAGCCGAGCAGCAGCGGCCGCGGCCGGUCCUGGCCGUAGGUCGCGAUGAUCGCCUGUGCCUC